UUUUAUGUCACUAGGUCGGCAAACAAGCGUACGGCUCCUGAUGCGUACGGCUCACCUGAUGGUAAGCGAUUACCGUAGCUUAUAGACGCCUGCAACACCAGAAGCAUCGAAAGCGCGUUGCCGACCCAAUCCCCCCAGGAGCUCUGGUCACCUUACUCACCAACAGGAACACAAUACUGCUUGAAAACAGUAUUAUUUAGCUGUGAUCUUCUGUAAGGAGGUACUAUCCCAGUCGGGCUGCUCCAUAUUUUGAGCAGGAAAUUCCUGCUGUGCCCUACCACAGUUAAAAA
rnacentral:misc_RNA from 1 species